UCCCCACCCCCGGGUGGCCAGUGCUUAACAUGCAAGACGAGCGGUAAGGCACUUCGGUGUACACGAGCGGCGAACGGGUGAGUAACACGUGAGUAAUCUGCCCUUCACUCUGGGAUAAGCUUAGGAAACGGGGUCUAAUACCGGAUACGACCGACCUACGCAUGUGGUGUUGGUGGAAACUUUUAUGGGUGGGGGAUGUGCUCGCGGCCUAUCAGCUUGUUGGUGGGGUAAUGGCCUACCAAGGCUUCGACGGGUAGCCGGCCUGAGAGGGUGAUCGGCCACACUGGGACUGAGACACGGCCCAGACUCCUACGGGAGGCAGCAGUGGGGAAUAUUGGACAAUGGGCGGAAGCCUGAUCCAGCAACGCCGCGUGGGGGAUGACGGCCUUCGGGUUGUAAACCUCUUUCAGUAUCAACGAAGCGCCCGUGUGGGUGGUGACGGUAGGUACAGAAGAAGCACCGGCCAACUACGUGCCAGCAGCCGCGGUAAUACGUAGGGUGCGAGCGUUGUCCGGAAUUAUUGGGCGUAAAGGGCUCGUAGGCGGUUUGUCGCGUCGGGAGUGAAAACACUGGGCUUAACCGAGUGCUUGCUUUCGAUACGGGCAGACUAGAGGUAUGCAGGGGAGAACGGAAUUCCUGGUGUAGCGGUGAAAUGCGCAGAUAUCAGGAGGAACACCGGUGGCGAAGGCGGUUCUCUGGGCAUUACCUGACGCUGAAGAGCGAAAGUGUGGGGAGCGAACAGGAUUAGAUACCCUGGUAGUCCACACCGUAAACGUUGGGCGCUAGGUGUGGGGCCUAUUCCAUGGGUUCCGUGCCGCAGCUAACGCAUUAAGCGCCCCGCCUGGGGAGUACGGUCGCAAGGCUAAAACUCAGAGGAAUUGACGGGGGCCCGCACAGCGGCGGAGCAUGCCGAUUAAUUCGAUGCAACGCGAAGAACCUUACCUGGGUUUGACA
rnacentral:rRNA from 1 species